rnacentral:misc_RNA from 1 species
UUCAUUGAUAUUGCCUCAGCAGUUACUGGUGCUCUCCCGGUUGGUCAGUGAACCACUUAAGCUUCAUUUAUCUGGGAAGCAUAAAUUAUUAACCACAGUAAUAGAAAAGAAUCACCAUUUAAUCAUAGGUACUUAACAAGAUUGAAUUGAAGCUUAACUAUAGGUGGGGUUGAAUUGGAAAAAUAAUAAGUUGAUCUUGAUUUAAAAUUUCAUUUUGGGAAAGCAAAGCUCAGUUGCCAGAAAAAGCACAAGUGCAGAAAGCCAG